rnacentral:rRNA from 1 species
AACGAACGCUGGCGGCGUGCCUAACACAUGCAAGUCGAACGGAAACGCCCUGAUUCUUUGUCUUCUGUUCUAACGACUGACGGACGAGUGACUCAUGACUGACCUGCCGUUUAAUUUGGGAUAACUUCUACAGACUGCGGCUAAUACCACAUAAUAGCUCCUGCUGACUGGAGAGGGGUAGCAUAUCGUUUCCUCUUGCUGAUCGAUAGACUCCCGAUUUAUCUACUUGUUGGGGGGGUAAAGGCUUACCCUAGCUUAGAAUGCCAACCCGGCUGAAAAGGAGAACCGCCCCCUUGGGACUGAAAUACCGCCCAAAAUCCUACCGGAAGGAACAAUGGGGAAUAUUGCCCAAUGGGCGGAAGCCUGAAGCAACACCUCCCCGUGGGGGAUGACAGCCUUCGGGUUGUAAACCGACUUUCGCCUGUGACGAAACGUGAGUGACUGUAAUGGGUAAAGAAUCACCGGCUAACUACAUGACAGCACCCGCGGUGAUACGUACGGUGCCAGCGUUGUCCGGAUUUAUUGGGCGUAAAGGGCUCGUACGUGGUUGAUCGCGUCCGAAGUGUAAUCUUGGAGCUUAACCCUGGGAACUGCUUUCUAUACUGGCAAGCUUGAGUCUCGUAGGGGAGAAUGGAAUUCCUGGUGGAGCGGUGAAAUGCGUAAAAAUCUGGAGGAAUACCGGUGGCGAAGGCGGUUCUCUGGGCCUUUCCUGACGCUCAAGUGCGAAAGCGUGGGGAGCAAACAGGAUUAAAUACCCUGGUAGUCCACGCCGUAAACGAUGUCGACUUGGAGGUUGUGCCCUUGAGGCGUGGCUUCCGGAGCUAACGCGUUAAGUCGACCGCCUGGGGAGUACGGCCGCCAGGUUGAAACUCAAAUGAAUUGACGGGGGCCCGCACAAGCGGUGGAGCAUGUGGUUUAAUUCGAUGCAGCGCGAAGAACCUUACCUGGUCUUGACAUCCACGGAAGUUUUCACAGAUAAAAAUGUGCCUUCGGGAACCGUGAGACAGGUGCUGCAUGGCUGUCUUCAGCUCGUGUUGUGAAAUGUUGGGUUAAGUCCCGCAACGAGCGCAACCCUUAUCCUUGUGUUGCCAGCGGUCCGGUCGGGAACUCAAAGGAGACUGUUACUGAUAAACUGGAUGAAAGUGGGGAUGACAUCAAGUCAUCAUGGCCCUUAUGUACCGGGGUUCCACCCGGGUUCCAAGGGCGCAUCCAAGGAGAAGGAGCCUGGGGGGAGCAAGGAGUCUUGGUAAACCGGGUUCUAGUCGGGAUGGGAUUUGCCAAUUGGCCUCCAGGAAUUGGGAAUGGUUGGUAUUGCAGAUUCAGAACGCCGCGGUGAAUACGUUCCCGGGCCU